rnacentral:lncRNA from 1 species
GAAGACCCAGAACCUGGAUGAUUUACGUUCUACUUCAUUUCCGAACCCCUGGCUGCUGACUGAAGUUGUACAUCAAAGCUGAAAACCAUCAAGGCCUCUCUUGGAGACCUCAGAAAGCCUCUUCAGAUUUAGAGGAGUGUCUCUGCAUGUUUUAACCUUUUUGGAAAAGAUGCAGCAUUGGCUCAGGGGAGGAAAGGAUGGUGUCUUUUGUCUUGUGCUGUUUUGAGUCCUCAUUAGUGCCGUGCUUCACGACUGCCCAGGACACGCUGGGCAGAGACGUAUGCUGUCAGCAAAGUUGAAGGACUGGGAAUUCUAACCCUUUUGCCACGGAUUGUCAUAAAACAAUAAGCAGUACAAGCAAACGUGAAGUGGUAUCACCACCUCUGCCUCCUGUCGCCUGACUGAAAGCAUCUGCCUGUGACAGAUUCAGACUACCUAUGGCCUACAUCACCCAGAAAUGUAGUGCUGUGUCCGGUAGCAGUCCAAACCAAUGUGCUGCUCAGCUCGGCAAAGCAGUGACACUUGGAGCUCUGAGACAGAUAAACUGAUACAACGUGGAGCUGCCUGAGCCCCUCCUGGACCAUGCUUCAAAUGCAGCAGAAGGACAUUGGGCAGGAGAGUGCCUCAUCCUGGUGUUGCUUUGGGGCCUUGCCCCAGGGCUACUGGACUGUCCUAGCCACCAGAGAGUGGUCUAACAUGUGGGCAUUCACCAGUGAUAAAGUUGUCUUGGUUAAAACACCUGGCACCAGCUUCUACAUGGACAUCAACUAUCAUCCUGUCGACCUUCCUAAACCCCAGGACAGCGCCCCCUUCCAGCAGGAAGUAGUAGAAGAAAGAAAAACUCUGCCCUUUUUCCUAAUAAUAUAAAAAUGGGAAUGAAAGGAUUUUGCCCUAAAUGAGAUGCUGUAGCAGUGGGAGGCGCUGGGAGGCAAAAAGUCAUCUUCCCUGCCCCUAAGCAAUUUUUUUUUGUCUUUUUGAGACAGGAUCUCACUAUGCAGUUCAGGCUGGCCUUGAGCUCACUUUGUAGCCCAGGCUGGUCUUGAACUCGCAACGAUCCUCCUGCCUCAGCCUCCCGAGUGCUGGGAUUACAGACGUGAGCCACACGCCUGGAAACCCCUAAGAAAUUUAUCUGUGGCACAAAAUGAAUUACAAUGGGCUACCUGUGCAUCAGUAAUGCCCCUUAGGCUCCCCCAAACCUAAGCUAUGUGUAUGCCCCCACUCCACAUGUCUGGCAGAGAGAAUGCCAGACAUCAGUGGUCGGGGUGUUCUCUCUCUGUAUUCUUAAAAUAAAGGCCACUUUACUUUACAUUCUGUCUUCUAACCGCGCCAAAACCUCUUUCACUUACUAUGUCCGUACUCCCGCCUGAAGGAGGAGAAAACACGAAAAGGAGGUCUUCCUUCAAGGGCUUGUUCCAGAAACACAAAUCUCUUCUGCUCAUAUGCCGUUAACCACAGCCUGGUCACGUGCCCAUGUCUGCUGCAAGGAAUGCUGAUUAAUACAGUCUCCAUCUUGGAUCACCUCAUUCCCA